rnacentral:rRNA from 1 species
AGAGUUUGAUCAUGGCUCAGGAUCAACGCUGGCGGCGUGCCUAACGCAUGUAAGUCGCACGGGUCGCUUUCGGGCGACCAGUGGCGAACGGCUGAGGAACACGUACGAACCGGCCCGCUUGUGGGGAAUAACGCACCGAAAGGUGUGCUAAUACCGCGUACGCUCGGCGCCGUAAGGGCGCCGAGGAAAGCCGCAAGGCGCAGGCGGAGGGGCGUGCGGCCCAUCAGGUGGUUGGUGGGGUAAUGGCCUACCAAGCCGGUGACGGGUAGCUGGUCUGUGAGGACGAUCAGCCAGACUGGGACUGCGACACGGCCCAGACACCUACGGGUGGCAGCAGCGAGGAAUCUUCCACAAUGGGCGCAAGCCCGAUGGAGCAACGCCGCGUGGAGGACGACGGCCUUCGGGUUGUAAACUCCUUUCGGGGGGGAUGAUACGAACAGUACCCUCAGAAGCAGCCCCGGCUAACUCUGUGCCAGCAGCCGCGGUAAUACAGAGGGGGCAAGCGUUGUCCGGAAUUACUGGGCGUACAGCGCGCGCAGGCGGGUGGUGACGUGCCGUGUGACAGGCGCCGGCUUAACCGGCGUAGGCCAUGGUAGACGCACCGUCUGGAGGCAGGGAGAGGGAUGUGGAAUGCCCGGUGGAGCGGUGAAAUGCGUAGAGAUCGGGCGGAACACCAGCGGCGAAGGCGGCAUCCUGGCCCUGACCUGACGCUGAGGCGCGAGAGCGUGGGGAGCAAACCGGAUUAGAUACCCCCGUAGUCC